UUGAAAACCAGUUUUCGAAUAGCCGCCAGGGAAGAUACAUGAAAGAGGCGUAAGAGACGUACAAGGAGAGGGAAAAGAGGGGGGAGGAGGAGGAUAUACCAUGCUAGUGCGUGUGUAUAAAAGAAAAACGGGGAAAGGUAGAAUGAGAGAGAGAGAGAUAGAAGAUUGUGAAUUAUCCUUCCGCAACCUCACCUAACUGAACACCACACACAGCAGACGAAUAAUCGUCGGUACCAUGAUGUUACUCGAUGAACGGUGAAUACUACUUCGUCAAUAGGAAGAAUCAUGUUUGUGACAGGAAAAUACGACGAACUAUCAGUUACGCCAAGCUCGAUGACAAAACUUAGCAAGGCAAAGAGCUGGUACACCUUGGCCCCGGCUAACUACUCAUGAGACUCGUUCUUUUAUGCGAGUAUUGUAAAACAAACUUGAAUGAUCAAAUUGGAAAAAAAUAGCUAACUAGAAAGAGAAAACAAGCGUCAACCUAGAAGAGAAUGGUUGCACAUCUUACAAGGAUAUAAUAUGAGAAGAGAGA